rnacentral:tRNA from 1 species
GGGGGAGUCGUCCAACGGGAGGACGGCUGGCCUGCACCCAGCAAAUGAGGGUUCGAUUCCCUCCUCUUCCACCA